GAUGAAGAACGCAGCGAAAUGCGAUACGUAGUGUGAAUUGCAGAAUUCAGUGAAUCAUCGAAUCUUUGAACGCACAUUGCGCCCCUUGGUAUUCCGAGGGGCAUGCCUGUUCGAGCGUCAUUAUAACCCCUCAAGCUCAGCUUGGUGUUGGGGCCUGCUGCACUGGCAGCCCUUAAAAUCAGUGGCGGCGCCAUCUGGCUCUAAGCGUAGUAAUUCUUCUCGCUAUGGAGUCCUGGUGGAUGCUUGCCAUCAACCCCCAAUUUUUCUAUGGUUGACCUCGGAUCAGGUAGGGAUACCCGCUGAACUUAAGCAUAUCAAUAAGCGGAGGA
rnacentral:misc_RNA from 1 species